GUGGUUUGGAGCUGGGGCGAGGUGCUGAGUGGCUGGGAAGAGUCUGGGUUUUGGAGCCAGGAGACCUGGCUCCAGUCAUCACACAAGCUUCUCCACCUCCCGGGACCUGUUUCCUCUUCUGAAUGUAAGGGAAUUGAGGAAGAUGAUUCACGUGCUCCUUUCCAGCCAUCACUACCCACGGACUUCCAAGGAUCUCUUGCUGUCCUCUUUCUUCCUUAGCAUCCCUCCCUCCAAGAAAAAUCCCACCUGCCACCUUGUUGCUGACACCCACAGCAAGAGAACCCACCACCUUCUGUCACUGUGAUGCUGGUAAAUUGCCCUGAAAGUUUUAAUGAAUAAAGGAAUAAAUUAAUAAUGACUAGAAAAACAUCCCAUUAAAACAGUGUGUGUUUGGGGCACUGAGCUGACAUCUGGUGAGUGAUGACUGAUCAUCUUAUGAUAAAAGACCCCCUUUCUCCCCCCACUUCCUGACUCAUAAGAGUUUUUAUCAGCACGGUUAUAUAAAAGAACAGAGCAUAAGGGAAAUUAUUGUUUAAUUUCAAAAACACAAAUGAAUCACUAAUAUAAAGUAUGCUUUUGCUUCACGCUUUCAAGCCCGAGGUGACUCACAGCACCGCGCUGUGUUUUCAAAGAGAUGAGCUCAGAGCAGGGUUGCAAUUCUGCAGUGUAACACGAUGUAACAGGUAGACAAAUGAAGACACAAAUGUCACAUCAUUAUCAGAGCCAGGAAGGAAACACAAUUAGGGGGCAGUGUGUUGGUGGGUGCCAGGAAGUGCUGAGCCCUGAUGGAGAAGAAGGCCCGGCCAUGCACAAACCACACAGAGUGCUCCGGGCACAAGCGAGAACAGGAGCAAAGGCCCUGAGGUCAGAACAAAGGUGGCUCAAGGCUGCGACCACAUUUAACUCCCAAAAGAGAAGCUGACUUUGAAGGGAUUACCCUUGGAGCUCCCAAGGACUGAUACCGACCCUGGGAUUAGCCACUGGAACAGGCCGCUAGGACAAUGGACUGAGAUAGUCAGGAUUCUUCUGGUUGUUCUACUGCCUUCCCACGCCCCUCUCUCCCCUCAAAUCAGUUAGCACAGCGGCUGGCCUCCCGGAUUGCACUCAGAUACGUAGCGAUAAGCGUCCCAGGCACCCAGGCACGGCCAGAGCUACAACGGGACCGGUGAUGGGCAAGCCUGCCACAAGUAAGUGGGCUUUUUGUGAAAAUGCCUGCUGCUAGAGGUCAUGACGUCUCUGUGCUCUCGGGAAGGACGUCCAGGCCUCCCUCGGCCCGGUAGGUUUCACCUCUGGCCUUGGACUUUCUUUUUUGGAGGAACAACAUAUGUCACAGGCAACUUUUUUUUUUUUUUUUUUGACAUGACAAUACCUGGAAUAAUGAGAUAUGUAAAGAACAAUGAGGAGCGAAGCGUUUCUAAGUUUAUUUUGAGCAGCCGUUACCUUCCACCAGUGCCUUUCAAAUGUCACUUAAUGAGUGUUCUCCUGUUUGUAGCGAAGCACAAAACUUCUUGGCUGUUCUUCAAAGUAUCUGAGAAUCUUUUAACUCUGUGCUGAACUAUGUGGCAAGUCGCUCCACAAUUAAAGCACUCAAAACCUUUAUUUUGAAAAGCCUACGAGGUGCCCAUCAAAGCAGAGAGCCCCUUCCCUUUUCGGUAUGUACUGAGCUCGCUCCUCUGGAAAUGUCAGCCGUGUCCUCAUUUAAAUAAUGUGACAGCUCCCGAGAAGACAUCUGAUGGGCGUCUCAGUCAAUUGUUAAAAGUACAGCAAAGAAAGUCCAAGAAGUUUCUUUUCUUUUCCCCCCUAAAGAAUUUAUCAUUAAUAAUUCACAUGAGCUACCUCAUAGGUGGUUGCCUACUGAAUGCAAGGAUCUCAUUGCUGUCUUCCGGCAAAUGGGAACUGGGAAGACUCAUUUGAACAUGAAGGACAUCUGGGAUUUUUCACCUGAAAGAAAAAACAAAGCCUCAGGACUGCUCCAAUAGGUUUCACACAUUCCAAAACGUAUGCAGGAAUGUCUAAACGCAGAAGGACUUGAUAUAAAUCACUAAACACGCAUAUUUUAAAAAUGCGUUUUGACCCAAAGCGCCUGAAUUUUUCAUUUACAACCACAGAGCAGCUCACUAAAAAUCCAAUCUCGUUGGCGCCUGGCACAUCACAGUUUUUUUCUGAAAAAUGCUCAAUGCUCCAAAUGCUUCUGGAGCUCUUGGAACUUUUAU